rnacentral:ncRNA from 1 species
CAGUGGUUGAUCACGAGUUAGUCGGUCCUAAGUUCAAGGCGAAAGCCGAAAAUUUUCAAGUAAAGAAAAAUCUAAAUAUAUUUGUCAUCUAACCGAUUUUUAUACACUUGAAUAAUUUUGAACGAAAGGGAAUACGGUUCCAAUUCCGUAACCUGUUGAGUAUCCGUUUGUUAUUAAAUAUGGGCCUCGUGCUCAUCCUGGCAACAGGAACGACCAUAAAGAAGCCGUCGAGAGGUAUCGGAAGAGUUUUCUUUUCUGUUUUAUAGCCGUACUACCAUGGAAGUCUUUCGCAGAGAGAUAUGGUAGAUGGGCUAGAAGAGCAUGACAUAUACUGUUGUGUCGAUAUUUUCUCCUCGGACCUUGAAAAUUUAUGGUGGGGACACGCAAACUUCUCAACAGGCCGUACCAAUAUCCGCAGCUGGUCUCCAAGGUGAAGAGUCUCUAGUCGAUAGAAUAAUGUAGGUAAGGGAAGUCGGCAAAUUAGAUCCGUAACUUCGGGAUAAGGAUUGGCUCUGAAGAUUGAGAUAGUCGGGCUUGAUUGGGAAACAAUAACAUGGUUUAUGUGCUCGUUCUGGGUAAAUAAAGUUUCUAUCAUUUAUGGUAGUUUCUUGUUCCCCGGAUAGUUUAGUUACGUAGCCAAUUGUGGAACUUUCUUGCUAAAAUUUUUAAGAAUACUAGUUGGGCUACCAAUUAGUUCUUUUAAAUUAUAACGAUUAUCAAUUAACAAUCAAUUCAGAACUGGCACGGACUU